GGACUGUUGAUCGGGUGGAUGAGGGUUGCGAUUACAGAGACAAUCUAAGGGUGUUUUUUCCAGUUUUGAGCGAUGAGGCUCGUGAGGGGUUGAUGGAAGAAGUGGGAUUGAAUGUUUGGCUGGGAUUGUCCUUUGUGAGGUGUUUUGGUUGAGGUUGUGCUUGAAAUUCAAUCAGGGAAUUAGGCGAGACAAGCUGGAGAUGGAUAUGCGGAACUGGGUAGUUCAGACUAUCAAUGGCUUUGAGAACAUUUACUUUUUGGAUAUGCUUCUUAGAAUGCUGUUGGAGCCAAGCUUGCCAAUCGCUAACUUACUGAGUUCUGAUGAUGCAAUGUCUCUGAUGAAGGUUCUUUAUGAUGCUGUCUUAAUUGUUGACUAUUCAUGUCUCAAUUCUCGUGGAUGGAUGCAGCUGUGUGACAAUCAGUUUGGAAACUUGGCUUUGAUGUGGUUAUUAGUUGCUGAUGAUGCUGUACAGUUUGCUAGGGAUAUAUGUGACCACAGCAGGGCUCUUUCCUAUGUCAAUUCCUUCACUGAAUCUCAUUUAUCUAAUCAGUUGAUUAAAUGGAUCUCUAAUCAAGCUUGCGUGGAGGAUGGAUUGACACAUGAUAUUGGCACUCCCAGAGAUCUCAUCAGGUGGCUGUUAGUUCUUGAAGAUCAAGGACUUGGAGUUUUCUAUCACAAUCUGUCAAGGUUCCUAACUAAAACAAAACUUGAGACUAUAAUUACUUGGAAAAGCAUCUUGAGUUGCUCUGGGAAUCUCGGAAAAGGGAAUAUAAAGUCAAUAUGGAUGAGGAGAUGGCUGAUCCCUCUUGCCGUGCAGAUCCAGCUUCCAUAGUGACACACACGAAGCAUCAAUAGAGGGCACAAGAAAACGCAAAGAUGGAACGAGAGAAGAAGUUGAAACAAGGGUUAAGCAUGUCAAGUAUACCUUCAUGAAACCUCAAUUUACAAAGAUAAAUUUGGAAGUGGAGUAGACAUGUGUAAUCCAGUCUGUGAUGAAGAUAUGGAGGUUAUGGUUACAGGAUAAUUAGAAUCCACUGAGGCAGGACUUUGUGGAGUCCAGAAGAUACUCAAAUGUCGAGGAUACAUUUUUUGGCUACACCAAGGUGCCGGAAGCUCUCCUCCGUCUAACCUCGGAUUGUACAAUCUUAGCCGUCUGACAAAUCUCACAAGGCCCAGGCUCUUGGGUGGGUGGUUUUAUUGCUUCAUCUGGGCUGUGGCAUGGCUACCCAUUCUCCAUUCUGGAUCUGUCACCCAUCCUUCCAGAAUUCAGCUGGACUUCUAUCAUAACUUUGAUUUUAUUGUUUUGUUGUUGGGGGGAGGGGGGGGGGAAGGUAUUUCACCACUUUGCACGCUUGCCAAUGUAAUUUCUAUGAAAGAUAUAUAAAAUUUCAGUUGAAGUAUUUGUUUGAUGAGGUGAUUAAAUUGGUUUCCCCAAUCUAUUGUUAGCAACUA